AAAGUUAAUUUUAUGUUAAUUAAACUCAUCACCAUCAUGAGUGUGGGGGAAGGUGCCUGGCAAGUCUAAAAAUGGUUCAUAGUAAGCAAUCAGCAGGUUUACGGGACUUCUAAUUAAUUUUUAUCAAUCAUGUGUGCCUAGUAUAGAGCAACCAGAGUUUAGAAUGACUGAAUCACUCAAUAAGUGCUUGUAACUCUUCGUCUGAUAAGACAGAAAGCAACAUCUUGACAUAAUAAAAUUAAACAGGAAAACAUUAUCAAACCUAGUGUCACUCCCGACUCCCCUUGGGAGAUUUUUUGUCGGUCACGUGAUGUGACCAUUGGACUUUAAGUCGCCAUGUGUUCAAGAAAGCGAGUGUUUUGAAUCGCAGGAGUUUGUCAAAGUUGUUAUUGUGCCGUUCGUUUAGCUCGAAGCAAACAGUUCGGCUUGAAACAAGCCUUGGCAACAAUAAAUGACUACAACCCACUCAUGAAGUAUUCCCAUUGGAUGACCUUCUGGCUGCAACAGAACUGGACAAGAUCCGUGCUGCACUGAGUGCUACUUUCACUCAUUUGAAAAAGAUCCGUAGCACUAAGUAUCCAAAUCCAAAGAGCUUUGCAACUUGUUGAUAAUGCAACUUGUUGAUAAUGAAGCCAUCUCGAGGGACUUGAACUCACAGCUGUUUAAAAAGGUUUUGGGAACAAGAAGAUUGAUGCACAUCAACCAUGAAGAAUUUGAAAAGAUCAUGAGUCACUUGCUUUGAAGUGUUCACAAGGUGGGAUGAUGAGUAUGAAAAGCUUCAAACCUUGUUACAAUCAGACAUUGUGAAGAAGAAAAGAGAAGAAAGCCUGAAGAUGGUGUGGAGAGUGAACCCAGCUCACAAACGACUUCAGGCCAGACUUGACCAGAUGAGAAAAUAUUGCAGAUUUUGCCGCCAACAUGAGCAGCUGCGAGCUGUCAUUGUCUGUGUACUCCAGCCCCAUGUCAGCCGUUAGCCAAGCUUCUCCCCCCAGUCCAGGUAGUCCUCCCAAGACAGCUGAGGAUGAGGAGGCAAAGCCAGGAGCUCUGCUUGAUCCUGCUGAUGCUAACGCCAUACAGGAAGUCAACCUUGCUUAUGAGAAUGUCAAGGAGGUUGAUGGACUUGAUGUGUCAAAAGAUGGGUCUGAGGCAUGGGAGGCAGCCAUCAAGAGGAAUGAAAUCAUACCCAAGUUGAGGGAGUAUAACAUAUUCUUUGGGGAAGAAAAGCUCUCCAGUUAACUAGCAAGGAGGUUGGAGGCAGGCUUAUUCUUGAAGGCAUUCUCAAGAUAUACUGGGGAUUAAAGGUGCCUGUUACACUAGCAAGCCACAACCUUUCCAAUUGGCAUAGACGGUCUCAAAACGACCCGAAUGGUUAUGCGAGAGUUUUAGCUGCUAAGAAAAAAGAUGGCAUUGUGAGUAUAUUUGGAUGAAAACGUUAGAGCCAACAGCUUGUCUAGCAGUGCUGGUGCUUCAAACGUGAUUUUCUUUAGCAUGAAGUGUCUAGCCAG
rnacentral:lncRNA from 1 species